rnacentral:rRNA from 1 species
UACGUAGGGUGCAAGCGUUAAUCGGAAUUACUGGGCGUAAAGCGUGCGUAGGCGGUUUGUUAAGUCUGUUGUGAAAUCCCCGGGCUCAACCUGGGAAUGGCAAUGGAUACUGGCAAGCUAGAGUGUGAUAGAGGAUGGUGGAAUUCCCGGUGUAGCGGUGAAAUGCGUAGAGAUCGGGAGGAACAUCAGUGGCGAAGGCGGCCAUCUGGAUCAACACUGACGCUGAGGCACGAAAGCGUGGGGAGCAAACAGG